UGGCUAGCUGAUACGCGCCUAGGCGCACCCAGAACCCUUUGUGAACUUAUACCUUUUGUUGCCUCGGCGCAUGCUGGCCUCUAGUAGGCCCCUCACCCCGGUGAGGAGACGGCACGCCGGCGGCCAAGUUAACUCUGUUUUUACACUGAAACUCUGAGAAAAAACACAAAUGAAUCAAAACUUUCAACAACGGAUCUCUUGGUUCUGGCAUCGAUGAAGAACGCAGCGAAAUGCGAUAAGUAAUGUGAAUUGCAGAAUUCAGUGAAUCAUCGAAUCUUUGAACGCACAUUGCGCCCUCUGGUAUUCCGGAGGGCAUGCCUGUUCGAGCGUCAUUUCAACCCUCAAGCAUUGCUUGGUGUUGGGGCACUGCUUUUAACGAAGCAGGCCCUGAAAUCUAGUGGCGAGCUCGCCAGGACCCCGAGCGUAGUAGUUAAACCCUCGCUCUGGAAGGCCCUGGCGGUGCCCUGCCGUUAAACCCCCAACUUCUGAAAAUUUGACCUCGGAUCAGGUAGGAAUACCCGCUGAACUUAAGCAUAUCAAAAGUGGGAGGAA
rnacentral:rRNA from 1 species